GGAGAGGUGUCAGAGUGGUCGAUCGUGCGGCUCUCGAAAAGCCGUGUUCCGCAAGGAACCGAGGGUUCGAAUCCCUCCCUCUCCG
rnacentral:tRNA from 1 species